rnacentral:rRNA from 1 species
GACGAACGCUGGCGGCGUGCCUAAUACAUGCAAGUAGAACGCAGUUGCGAACGGGUGAGUAACGCGUAGGUAACUGCCUCAUAGCGGGGGAUAACUAUUGGAAACGAUAGCUAAUACCGCAUACUUUGAUAUGGACCUGCGUUGUAUUAGCUAGUUGGUGAGGUAAAGGCCCACCAAGGCGAAGAUUCAUAGCCGACCUGGGAGGGGGGUCGGGCACACUGGGACUGAGACACGGGCCAGACUCCUACGGGGGGCAGCAGUAGGGGAUCUUCGGAAAUUGACGGAAGUCUGACCGAGCAACGCCGCGUGAGUGAAGAAGGUUUUCGGAUCGUAAAGCUCUGUUGUUAGAGAAGCGUUAACUAACCAGAAAGGGACGGCUAACUACGUGCCAGCAGCCGCGGUAAUUC